rnacentral:rRNA from 1 species
GACAAACCGAGCGAACGUUAUUCGGAAUCACUGGGCUUAAAGGGCGCGUAGGCGGGCGGCCAAGUCAGGGGUGAAAGCCCCCAGCUCAACUGGGGAAGUGCCUCUGAUACUGGUCAUCUUGAGGGAGGUAGGGGCGUGCGGAACUUCCGGUGGAGCGGUGAAAUGCGUAGAUAUCGGAAGGAACACCGGUGGCGAAGGCGGCGACCUGGGUGGAUACUGACGCUGAGGCGCGAAAGCGUGGGGAGCAAACAGG